UAGUAACGGCGAGUGAAGCGGGAUGAGCUCAAGCUUAAAAUCUCUGUGCCAGUUUGGCAUGGCGAAUUGUAGUCUAUAGAGGCGUUGUCAGUGCGGCUGUGCGGGGUAAGUUCCUUGGAAGAGGACAGCAUCGAGGGUGAUACUCCCGUUUGUACCUGUGCGGCUUGCGCGUACGACACGUUUUCUUCGAGUCGCGUUGUUUGGGACUGCAGCGCAAAGUAGGUGGUAAAUUCCAUCUAAAGCUAAAUAUUGGUGCGAGACCGAUAGCGAACAAGUACCGUGAGGGAAAGAUGAAAAGAACUUUGAAAAGAGAGUUAAAGAGUACCUGAAACUGCUGAAAGGGAAGCGAAUCGUAUCCAGUGUCUAUAAUCUGCGACAUAUUUCAUUGGCGACAGUGUGCGUGCUUUUGCGUCGGAAGCGGCUUUUGUUGCUCUGUGCUUUUGCUGUGCGCGCUGUUGCUGUUGCCCUGUGUUGCGGUGGGACGUCAGAGUCAGUUCGUAUGCUGCGGGAAAUGGCCGCCGAGGAGGUAGGUCAGGAUUUCGGUCUUGGCUGUUAUAUCUUGGUGGUUUGUUGUCGUGGUUGGGACUGAGGUGCCUACAAUGUGCUUUUGAGUGUGCCGGGUUCUCAUUUGGUGGACUGUUUGGAUAGCUUGCUAUGCUUGUGGUUUUUUCAUCGAGUGAUUGAGUCUGGUGGUAACUUAUUGCCGUUC
rnacentral:rRNA from 2 species